UUACAGAAGGUGGGUUAGGAACCAUCUUCUGUAAAUAUUAUUUUUUAAGCAUAGGGAGGCUUAAU
rnacentral:sRNA from 12 species